AUUAAACGCUGGCGGCAUGCUUUACACAUGCAAGUCGAACGGCAGCACGGGUGCUUGCACCUGGUGGCGAGUGGCGGACGGGUGAGUAAUACAUCGGAACGUGUCCUGAAGUGGGGGAUAACGCAUCGAAAGAUGUGCUAAUACCGCAUAUUCUCUGAGGAGAAAAGUAAGGGGAGUCGAAGACCUUAUGCUUUGGAGCGGCCGAUGUCUGAUUAGCUAGUUGGUAGGGUAAUGGCUUACCAAGGCGACGAUCAGUAGUUGGUCUGAGAGGACGGCCAGCCACACUGGGACUGAGACACGGCCCAGACUCCUACGGGAGGCAGCAGUGGGGAAUUUUGGACAAUGGGCGAAAGCCUGAUCCAGCCAUGCCGCGUGAGUGAAGAAGGCC
rnacentral:rRNA from 1 species